rnacentral:rRNA from 1 species
AACGAACGCUGGCGGCAUGCUUAACACAUGCAAGUUGAACGAGAAGCUCCCUUCGGGGAGUGGACAGUGGCGCACGGGUGAGUAACGCGUGGGAAUCUGCCCUAGAGUGGGGAACAACGUUUGGAAACGAACGCUAAUACCGCAUACGCCCUUCGGGGGAAAGGCUUCGGCCGCUCUUGGAUGAUCCCGCGUCUGAUUAGCUAGUUGGUGGGGUAACGGCCUACCAAGGCGACGAUCAGUAGCUGGUCUGAGAGGAUGAUCAGCCACACUGGGACUGAGACACGGCCCAG